rnacentral:rRNA from 1 species
CCGCCGAAGGUGGGGCAGAUGAUUGGGGUGAAGUCGUAACAAGGUAUCCCUACCGGAAGGUGGGGAUGGAUCACCUCCUUUCU